rnacentral:rRNA from 1 species
AUGUGUUGUAUGAGAUGUACCAUAUGUUUGCACCAUGUCCGAGUUGUUGCUUGCGAUGCCCCUCUUUUGCCAUGCCACCGUCCCGUGGGAACCCGGAAGUCGGGAGCACCCCACCAUCCUUGCAUGACACGCUCCGCACACUUCUCUCUUGCAUCAGUAUCUCAAUUGAGUUACCGGAACCGAUAUGUUGCCGUGGCAUCAUUUUCGGAUAUGCUGCCAUGGCAUCAUUCUCGGAUAUGUUGUCGUGGCACCAUUUCUGUUUCGCCGCCGUGGCACCCUUUUCAUUCCGCCAUGGUGACCAAAUGCUUCAUAACAUGCUUAUGUCAACAUUUUCAUAAAAAUUGCAUAAAACUUGCACAUGUCAUCCGCGUCAUGAUAAUAACAUUUAAAUGCUUAUAA